rnacentral:rRNA from 1 species
GGCGAGUGGCGAACGGGUGAGUAAUAUAUCGGAACGUACCCAAGAGUGGGGGAUAACGUAGCGAAAGUUACGCUAAUACCGCAUACGAUCCAAGGAUGAAAGUGGGGGCUCGCAAGACCUCAUGCUCCUGGAGCGGCCGAUAUCUGAUUAGCUAGUUGGUGAGGUAAAGGCUCACCAAGGCGACGAUCAGUAGCUGGUCUGAGAGGACGACCAGCCACACUGGAACUGAGACACGGUCCAGACUCCUACGGGAGGCAGCAGUGGGGAAUUUUGGACAAUGGGCGCAAGCCUGAUCCAGCAAUGCCGCGUGAGUGAAGAAGGCCUUCGGGUUGUAAAGCUCUUUUGUCAGGGAAGAAACGGUGGGAGCUAAUAUCUCCCGCUAAUGACGGUACCUGAAGAAUAAGCACCGGCUAACUACGUGCCAGCAGCCGCGGUAAUACGUAGGGUGCAAGCGUUAAUCGGAAUUACUGGGCGUAAAGCGUGCGCAGGCGGUUUUGUAAGUCUGUCGUGAAAUCCCCGGGCUUAACCUGGGAAUGGCAUUGGUGA